rnacentral:rRNA from 1 species
UGUCCCUACGGGAGGCAGCAGUGAGGAAUAUUGGUCAAUGGACGAGAGUCUGAACCAGCCAAGUAGCGUGAAGGAUGACUGCCCUAUGGGUUGUAAACUUCUUUUAUAAAGGAAUAAAGUGAGGCACGUGUGCCUUUUUGUAUGUACUUUAUGAAUAAGGAUCGGCUAACUCCGUGCCAGCAGCCGCGGUAAUACGGAGGAUCCGAGCGUUAUCCGGAUUUAUUGGGUUUAGAGGGAGCGUAGAUGGGUUGUUAAGUCAGUUGUGAAAGUUUGCGGCUCAACCGUAAAAUUGCAAUUGAUACUGG